ACGCAACAGAAGUACCAGAAGCCUACGCGCUGAGCAUGCUCAAAGACGUUGGCGCGGUGGGUGUGGCUCCCCUCUGGCCCAACCGCCGCCCUUCCUCCUCUCUUCCCGCGCCCCGCCCACUAGCGCAAAGUCUUAGACGCGCAUGCGUUACCGUGGCCCGGGAGGCGGAACUGCUGCAUCCGGGUACUCGGGAGCCUAUGCUGCGUGGUGAGGAGGCCUAUGUUCUCUUCAUUGAAAGCAGUAAGUCAUGUGGUAUCCAGUUUUUCCACCACUGAAAACUACACCUUGGAACCAAUGUUGGAUUCUGAAAACAGCAGUGGUAGCAGAGCUCCUCUGAAUGCUCCUACUCCAUGCUUUUAAGGUCAACAGAGCUAUGUUCAGGAUACAGCCUGGAGCAGCUGAUUGCAAUGAAGACCCCAGCCCUAUCUGAGGAGUCACUUCCAAGAUACAUGACAUCGUAGCUCAGGUGUAAACUCAGCUCUCUCCGACCAAGAGGAUCAGAGGAGCUUUCGACCAAGGAGGCUCAUCUAAAGAGUGAGCUGCAAAGAGGAAAAAAUGCAGAGUGAUUGUGACACAGAAGAAGACCUAUCCAUUGACCUUACAUCACAGACGAGUUGACAUCAGACAUCUCUGUUGUUAGAGCUGCUGUAGAAUGGUUGCGAAUAGUCACCAGUGCAGCAUUCAAGGUAAGUAACAUGAAGAUCAAUAAACUCCAGUCUGAUGUGACAUUCCUUCUAGUAUGUCCCAAGGAACUCCUGCCAUUGGUUCAGCCAUCACCCAUGUGGGCUCAUGCCUCCACUGCCUACAAUUACUGAGCCGCGCUAUGGCUGAGCUAUUACUCCUACAGCUCCUCCUGAUGACUAUGUCUCAGGUUGGUAGCUCUGGCCUGGAAAUAUCACACUUAUAAUGCUGUUUAAGAGGCACCCCUCGAUAUAUCCAGCUUAUAUCUGUUUCCUGCCAUGAAGACUUACCACAUGAGGAUGUUAUCUGUGACAUCACCACGGAAGCUUCUGCCUCUGUCCCCAUGGCAGCCGCCAUAGAGAGGUGUUAGGGAUUCUGUACUGUCAUUUGGCUUUGAAGAAGCCAGGAAAGCAAGCGACCAGCACACAGAUCCAGAUGUGUAUCUGCCAAUAUCAUUCCCAAUAACCCACAAAGGUGCAAUUACUAGUGGUGUUAUUACAGUAUAAGGACUGAUGGGUGCCUCUGCCUAGCUAAGAAUGUAACAUUUGUGUCCAUGCCUAAUGGCCGCCUAUAUCACUCGUUUGAGAGUUACUCCAUUCCACACAGCAAUAUAACUCUUCAGUGCACACCUUGCUCACCAGGGUGCUGCUACUUAAUCAGACAAGCUGUCUCAGCCAUUCUCCCCUGAAUGUCAGAGGAACCAUAAUUAACCAUAUGUGGAUUAUGUUACAUGACCUUCACAAGGAAUUUGACUUCAAUAAUGGCACAUCACAGGAGGCAAAUUAACUAGAGAAUGUCAACUGGUCCAGAAUGGAAAGAGGCAAAGUACUGCACAAGGCUACACUACCCAUGCUGUAAAAGACUUCCUUUUCAAAGGUUACAUAUCACGCAGUCUACUGUAUGCCUGCUCCCCCAAGUCCUUUCACAGCCUUUACGUGACCAUGCUCGAUUUUUGCGACCUUGGCUCAACAACCAAUCCCAGCUACUGUCUCAGGAGACUCAGCACUUGUCUGGCCCUGUGUAAAGAUGAACUAUUCUGUCUUCAACCCAACAACAACUGACCUUUACUUCAAGGUACAAUGCAGUGAAGCCAUGAUGCUUUACCAGUGGAACAGGAUCUUUUACAGCGCUUUGCCUUCCAGAGACAAAGGAUGACACAUAUCAAGCAGUCUGGCCAAUAAAACACAUGUUCUUGGAGUAGUCACCCCAGCCAUUGCCCCCGUUUUCAACAACCAUUUCACCAAAGCACAUUAAUGGGUCAGCAUAUGCGGACAUAGCUCAACUACGCGACACUACCCCUGGAAGCUUCAAUAUCACAACCUCACUUCUGGCUCUAAGGUCUUAUACACAUCUCCAUCCCCAACUAUGAGGUUUCUUCAUAGGCAAGAACUGGUUUGCAGGGACUAAGGCAAUAAGAAGCCUCUGACUUAUUCAAUCUUCUAUUAUAAGGGUGAGACUUUUAUGGCCUCGGGUUUUCAGGGGUACUGUGGAAGCGGUUUAGAAGGAUCAAUCUGAAUUUUAAUGGGUUUGACACUUCUGAUUUUUCCCCCACAUCUGUGAAAAAGGCCCACAGAGUAGCAGGGAUUUCAGAGAGAUCUAUAGCAUCUACACUUCCAUCGAAUUUAAUAGUCUCCUCAGGACAAUCAAUUUGGACUUGGAGAACACAUCAUGCUUCAGUGUCUGAUGAGUCUGGAAACUCUGUCUCUCCUGAGGAAAAUUUUAUGUGGCCUCCUAAUAUAGAAAGCAGGUCUCUACCUAGGAAAUUCACAGGGGCAGUAUCACAUAAUAGAAAGGUAUGACUCAGAGAGAGGGCCAAGGGUAACAGCUAUGGGUUCCAGUAAGGGAACUCUUUGAACUUGACUAGAAACUCCCACCACAAAGAUAUUUUUAUUACUCCAAGGUAGUUCUUCAUGCAUAAUGGUAGGGUUUAAAGGAAAUAGAGUUGCUCCGGUAUCUAUCAACAAGGUAGAAAUUUCUCCAUUUAAGUUUAGGUUAAUUUUCCCUGAUGAUUUAAGGAAUUAUUGAAGUAGCUUACCAGGCAACUUCUCAGAGUUCUAUCAGUGUUGACAGUUAUCACCAGAAUCUGGGAGCUGAGGGCACUCUCUUUCUGGAUUGUUUAACAGGCGCUCUAUUUAAAAGUGGGCA